CCUACGGGUGGCAGCAGUGGGGAAUAUUGCACAAUGGGGGGAACCCUGAUCCAGCAAUACCGCGUGGGGGAAGAAGCACUCCGGUGCGGAAAGCCCUGUCAGCAGGGGAGAAAAUGACAGUACCUGGACAAGAAGCCACGGCUAACUACGUGCCAGCAGCAGCGGUACUACGUCGGGGGCAGGCGUGAUCCGGAUUUACGGGGUGUAAAGGGAGCGCAGGCGGCUUGGCAAGUCAGAUGUGAAAACCUGGGGCCCAACCCUGGGAGUGCAUUUGAAACUGCCAUGCUGGAGUGCAGGAGAGGUAGGCGGAAUUCCUAGUGUAGCGGUGAAAUGCGUAGAUAUCACGCAGAACCCCGAUUGCGAAGGCAGCCUGCUAAGCCAUGACUGACGCUGAUGCACGAAAGCGUGGGGAUCAAACAGGAUUAGAUACCCGUGUAGUC
rnacentral:rRNA from 1 species